GUGGGGAAUCUUAGACAAUGGGGGAAACCCUGAUCUAGCCAUGCCGCGUGAUCGAUGAAGGCCUUAGGGUUGUAAAGAUCUUUCAGGUGGGAAGAUAAUGACUGUACCCGGAGAAGAAGCUCCGGCUAACUUCGUGCCAGCAGCCGCGGUAAUACGAAGGGGGCUAGCGUUGCUCGGAAUUACUGGGCGUAAAGGGCGCGUAGGCGGACAGCUUAGUCAGAGGUGAAAUCCCAGGGCUCAACCUUGGAACUGCCUUCAAAACUCCUGGUCUGGAGUUCGAGAGAGGUGAGUGGAAUUCCGAGUGUAGAGGUGAAAUUCGUAGAUAUUCGGAGGAACACCAGUGGCGAAGGCGGCUCACUGGCUCGAUACUGACGCUGAGGUGCGAAAGCGUGGGGAGCAAACAGGAUUAGAAACCCGGGUAGUCC
rnacentral:rRNA from 1 species